UGCCUUUAAAAGCGUGCUUGUAACAAAGGCUGAAUGGAGCUCACAUUCAAGGUUUCUUGGGUCUAAGUCUUCUGGGAAGCUGUCUACGCUUUGGCUCAUGUAAACUCCUUAAAUCAUAUUUUGUGCCCACAGUCUUCUCCUUUUAUGUCAAGAGCCUCACUGGUCACCCAGGCUGGAGUACAAUGGCACCAUCCUGGCUCACUGCAACCUCCACCUCCUGGGUUCAAGCAAUUCUCAUGCCUCAGCCUCCCGAGUAGCUGGGAGUACAGAGCUAUGUCACCAUGCCUGACUAAUUAUAAUUUUUAAAAAAU
rnacentral:lncRNA from 1 species